UAACACCAUUAUAACGUAGUUUUAGAAUAAGAGAGUUGCAAGAGAAUUGUUCAGCAGACCAACUGAAUUAUGUUUUUACACUUCUUACUUUACAGCGCCUACAUCCGAUCAUUCUCUGCCAUAAAUCGACUCAUCUUUAGAAAUGUUUGAUACAAUUGGAAUAUAACGUUUCUUUAAUUGAGCAGAAAGUUUACGAUAGGCAAUGUACAGACAAUAUUGGAUUAGUUUGAUAUGGACAUCAUAGUCUUGUGGUGUAGGGUUAGAUAGACUGGACGUCUCGAGUGAUGGAUUCGAGAAAGAAUAGUAUUUUGGAAUAUCUGUUUUAUUAAUCGGAUCUCCAUCGCACGUUUGGGUUGAUAUUUAUUUCCUCGUGUCGAACACAGUUAUAAACGCAAAGAGUUGUUCUGGCGGGAGAACAGUUUGUAUAUUCAAAGUUUGGAAUCGCGGAUGAAAUAUUUUCUGAUUUAAUCUUUCGAGAACAGAUUUUAUGGGUGUUAAAGGACUGUGGUUGCGUUGUUCUUGGAGAAUUAUUUGUUUUUUUGGAAAGAUCAUAUAAUUUCUUUUAAAUCCCCCAAUAAUAUUGACGUUACGACAUUCGAAUUUUAAAAUCUUUUGAUCUGAAGCUGGGAUAGCAACGGAAAAAGUCAUGUUGCAAUAUAACAGUAACUCCUGUCACCUUGACGACGGUAUGGAUGAGCAGACAAACCUAAACAGGCCAUUUGGGGAUAAAGAUGACCUAACCGAAGUGUUACCUGACGCUAGAUUUGUAACAGUGCAAAGAUGGUAUCAGUAUAUAUCAAUAUCACUCAUAUUCAUCAGCUGUAUAUCUAUUUUGGCGGGAAUUAUAACAGUUAAUGUGGUGGCAGAUGAACCUUUGCUAACGUUCUUCACUGGUUCACCAAUAUGGACGGGGGCAGUGGGUCUGAUAGCCGGUGCUUUAGUUUAUGUUGAUUGGAGAAAUAUGAACCAGAAUGGACCACCUUUAACAACGUCUACUCUUGUUUUACUCCAUUUUAUGUUUGAGAUGUUAUGUGCAGCAUUCUGUCUAUUUAUGGCAGUGUGGAAUGCCACGGGGUGUAUGUCAGAAAUAGCCAUUCAGAAAUCAUGCCAUACUGAUAGACCAUCUAAUAUGUCGACGGCCAUCGCUGAUUACAUCAUUUGUAUUUUUCUUCUUCUAAAUAGCUUAAUCAUUCCAAUAUUUGUGAUAAUAAAUCGGAAUAUUUUCGGUUCUAAAACAAUUGAUGAACGUUUAAAAGAAAUAGAAGCCAGACUGCAGAUUAGAAUGAAUGACAUGCAGACGGAAGCGUCUUUAAGACGCCCGUGCACUUACGACACUGUUUAUUGAAGACUUAAUUCGUGUGCUUUUCAUAUUCUUGGCACUUUUAGCUAAUAAAUUUGAUUUAUCAUCCACU